rnacentral:rRNA from 1 species
GAUGAACGCUAGCGGCAGGCCUAACACAUGCAAGUCGAGGGGUAGAACACUUCGGUGUUUGAGACCGGCGCACGGGUGCGUAACGCGUAUGCAAUCUACCUUAUACAGGGGAAUAGCCCAGAGAAAUUUGGAUUAAUGCCCCAUAGUGUUAUAGAAUCGCAUGGUUUUAUAACUAAAGUUCCAACGGUAUAAGAUGAGCAUGCGUCCCAUUAGUUAGUUGGUAAGGUAACGGCUUACCAAGACAAUGAUGGGUAGGGGUCCUGAGAGGGAGAUCCCCCACACUGGUACUGAGACACGGACCAGACUCCUACGGGAGGCAGCAGUGAGGAAUAUUGGUCAAUGGGCGCAAGCCUGAACCAGCCAUGCCGCGUGCAGGAAGAAGCAUCUAUGGUGUGUAAACUGCUUUUAUACAGGAAGAAACACCUCCACGUGUGGAGGCUUGACGGUACUGUAGGAAUAAGGAUCGGCUAACUCCGUGCCAGCAGCCGCGGUAAAG